rnacentral:rRNA from 1 species
UUGGACUUUUCUCUAUAGAGGGUGAGGGCUCCCUAUAUGCGCGCGCGGCCGCCCGCGGGAGGGAUAUAUGCUGCAUAACUCUCCCUUCCGGCCUAACACAUGUGGAGCGGUAGAGGCAUUAAGAAUUUCUUGCUGAUCAGAGCUGACGAGCGGCGGAUGGCUGAUUGAAGAAUACCAAACAAAGUACUCUAACGGGAUUAAUGGGGAUACUCGCCAUAUACCGUAUACAUCCUUAAGGAGAACGCAGACUUAGUUUUGAUGCUCUCGCUGAAGAGCGCCAGACUAAGAUGAUGUUGUUGGUGAGGUAAAGGCUCGCCAAGGCUACGUUCUUUAACUGGUCUGAGAAGACGAUCAGCCGCAUUGGGACUGAGACACGGCCCUGACACCUAAGGCAGGCAGCAGUGGUGAAUAACGAACAAUGGGCGCAAGCCUGAUCCCACCAUACCUCUUGUGUGAAGACGGCCUGCGGGCUGUAAAGCUCUUUAAAAACAGAAGAACUUAUAUUGUUAAUACAAAUGUCACGUGACUUACUUACAAAAAAAGGACCGGCUAAUUCCGUGCCACCCGCCUAGUUAAUACGGAAAGUCCAAGGCUCAAUCGGAGUUACUGGGGGAAAGCGCGCGACGGUGGCUUAUUAAGAUGGGUGGGAAAGCCCCGAGCUCAACCUGACAACUGCAUUCAACGCUGAUUCACUUUAGCA